GACACGCUGGCGGCGUGCCUAACACAUGCAAGUCGAGCGGGGUGGAGGCGAGAGGUAACUCAAGCUUCUACCUAGCGGCGGACGGGUGAGUAACGCGUGGGCAACCUGCCUCAAGGAUCGGGAUAACAGCUCGAAAGGGCUGCUAAUACCGGAUAUGCCUAUGGCCUCGCAUGGGGCUGUGGGCAAAGGGGAAACCCGCCUUGAGAUGGGCCCGCGUCCCAUCAGCUAGUUGGUGAGGUGAAGGCUCACCAAGGCGACGACGGGUAGCCGGCCUGAGAGGGUGACCGGCCACACUGGGACUGAGACACGGCCCAGACUCCUACGGGGGGCAGCAGUGGGGGAUCUUGCACAAUGGGCGAAAGCCUGAUGCAGCGACGCCGCGUGAGCGAAGAAGGCCUUCGGGUUGUAAAGCUCUGUCUGGAGGGACGAAGAAAGUGACGGUACCUCCGGAGGAAGCCACGGCUAACUACGUG
rnacentral:rRNA from 1 species